UCCCUGGUGGCUCAGUGGGUUAAAACUCAGCAUUGUCACUGCUGUGGCGUGGGUUCGAUCCCUGGCCUGGGAA
rnacentral:tRNA from 1 species